rnacentral:rRNA from 1 species
AUUGAACGCUGGCGGCAGGCCUAACACAUGCAAGUCGAGCGGAUGAAGGGAGUUUGGUGCUGGCUUGAGCGGCGGACGGGUGAGUAAUGCCUAGGUAUCUUCCUGGUAGUGGGGGAAAACGUCCGGGAACGGGCGGCAAUUACGCAUACGGCGCGCGGGAGACAGUGGGGGAUCUUCGAACUUCACGCUAUCAGAGGUGCCCAGGUCGGAUUUCCUAGUUGGUGGGGUAAAGGCCUACAAAGGAGACGAUCCGUAACUGGUCUGAGAGGAGGAUGAGUCACACUGGGACUGAGACACGGUACAGACUCUUACGGGAGGCACCAGUGGGGAAUAGUGGAAGAAGUGCGGAAGCUUGAUCCAGGCGUGCCGCGUGUAUGAAGAAAGUCUUUGGAUUGUAAAACGCUUUAAGUUGUGAGGAAGGGCAGUAAGUUAAUACCUGGCUGUUGUGACGUUACCAACAAAAUAAGCACCGGCUAACUUCGUG